UGUUUUCGGUGAGGGAGCCGAGAGCGCCGAGAAAGAGGAGGAGAAGGAAGGAGGAGGAGGAAGGCUGCUGCUGUGUGGAGGAGCGGCGGCAGCGGCAGCACCUUUGACGUGCCCGUUCCCCACGUGACGGCCGCUCCAUUGCGGGGAGGGAGCCGAGCUGCCGCCGCUCCGGCAGAGCACGGGAGAGCCGCAGCCUCGGCGGCGGCAGCGGCAGCAGCAGCGCCUCCGCCCGCAGUGCGUGUGUGUGCGUGUGUGUGAUGAGCGAUCGCCGCGUCCCUCCGCCCGCUGCCGGCUGAGACCCACCGCGCGGGGCGCGCCAGGAGCAGCAGGAGGAGGCGAGGAGCGGCGGCCAGCGCGCAGUGACCUUGGCCCAGGAGUGCAACAUCCAAAAGCGGAUCAAAUUUGUGGGACAUGGCACAAGGAAAUAAUUAUGGUCAAAGCAGCAAUGGGGUGGCUGAUGAAUCCCCAAACAUGCUGGUGUACAGAAAGAUGGAAGAUGUCAUAGCCCGCAUGCAAGAUGAGAAAAAUGGAAUUCCUAUUCGUACAGUGAAAAGUUUUCUUUCCAAGAUUCCCAGUGUCUUUUCUGGUUCAGAUAUUGUUCAAUGGUUAACGAAGAAUUUAUCGAUAGAAGACCCAGUUGAAGCUCUGCAUUUGGGAACUCUGAUGGCAGCACAUGGCUAUUUCUUUCCAAUCUCAGACCAUGUUCUAACAUUGAAGGAUGAUGGCACCUUUUAUCGAUUCCAGACACCCUAUUUUUGGCCAUCAAAUUGUUGGGAGCCGGAAAACACAGACUAUGCUGUUUACCUCUGCAAGCGGACAAUGCAAAACAAAGCCAGGCUAGAACUAGCAGACUAUGAAGCUGAGAGUUUGGCCAGGCUACAGCGAGCAUUUGCUCGGAAAUGGGAGUUUAUUUUUAUGCAAGCUGAAGCACAAGCAAAGGUUGACAAGAAGAGAGACAAGAUAGAGAGGAAGAUUCUUGACAGUCAGGAGCGGGCAUUUUGGGAUGUGCACCGUCCGGUGCCUGGCUGUGUAAACACGACUGAAGUGGAUAUAAAAAAAUCUUCAAGAAUGAGAAAUCCACAUAAAACAAGAAAGUCUGUCUAUGGCUUACAAAAUGACAUUCGAAGUCACAGCCCUACCCACACGCCAGUACCAGAGACUAAGCCACCCACAGAAGAUGAACUACACCAAGAGAUUAAGCACUGGCAAAUGCAAUUAGACAGACAUAGAUUAAAAAUGUCAAAAGUUGCAGAGAGUCUAUUAGCUUAUACAGAGCAGUAUUUGGAAUAUGAUCCUUUUCUUGUGCCCCCUGAUCCCUCAAACCCUUGGAUAUCAGAUGACACCACUUUCUGGGAACUGGAGACAAGCAAAGAGCCAGGACAGCAGAGGGUGAAACGAUGGGGAUUUGGCAUGGAUGAAGCUUUGAAAGACCCUGUGGGAAGAGAGCAGUUUCUGAAAUUCUUGGAGUCAGAAUUCAGUUCAGAAAAUUUAAGGUUCUGGUUAGCAGUAGAAGACCUGAAGAAGAGGCCUAUCCGUGAAGUUCCUGCUCGUGUCCAAGAAAUCUGGCAAGAAUUUCUUGCUCCAGGUGCACCCAGCGCUAUCAACCUAGAUUCAAAAAGUUAUGACAAAACCACUCAGAAUGUGAAGGAACCUGGAAGAUACACAUUUGAAGAUGCUCAGGAGCACAUUUACAAACUGAUGAAAAGUGAUUCUUAUCCUCGUUUUAUACGAUCCAGUGCCUACCAGGAGCUGCUACAGGCCAAGAAAAAGUUGGAAAACACUCUGGAUCGUCGAACAUCUUUUGAGAAAUUCACACGCAAUGUGGUAAAGGCUUCCUGUAAUAUGCUUUGAAUCCACUGUAAUCAGGAAGAAAUUUGGAUUCAAUGGGACAAAGUCAGUAAAGGACACUAAAAGGGAAAUCGCUCACAUCAAAGAGGUUAACCAGUCUAGUGCAGUCCUACUAAAAGGAUCACCUUGUAGCAUGGAAGCAGACUCAAAUCAUUAUACAUACUUUGUAGCUCACUGAUUGCCUGACUCAGAGGACAGUAGAACAAGAUGUUGCAUGAGCAAGGACCUGACUUGUUUUCUUUUGUGUAUACUAAGGCAUUACAGACUCCGAGGGACUCUCUAGCCUUUCGAUGCCUCCAUUUCGAAAACUGUCUGCUCACUUCCUCCUUCAUAUCAAGCUGGAUCUGUGUCUUUUUAUUUUCUGCAAGCUCAAGUACAGUGAAAAAAAAGCUUCUGCUAGGCACAGUUUAUUAAAAAAAUACGUCAAUCAAAAACUGGAAGAAAUGUAAAAAAUGCAUAUAUUAAUAAAUAUACAUAUGGCAUCACAUUUAUUGCACAAUAAAUUAGCACAGAAGGUUUCAUUUCACUGAUGUAUUCACAUUGAGAAAGAAAGCCUGUGUCUUUGUCUGUUGUCUGUAUAUUCUCUGUUAAUGUUUCUUGCAUUUAUUUUUAUACCAUAUUUAAAAAAAGAACACCUUUUACUUCAGAUGUAUUAAAGUUGAUCCUUUCUCUGUAAAUUUGUGUAUGUUUAUAUUGUUGUUUUAUCUUUCAUUAAAAGAUGCAGAAUCUCUU